rnacentral:rRNA from 1 species
UACGUAUGGUGCGAACGUUGUUCGGAAUCACUGGGCAUAAAGAGCACGUAGGCGGUUAAGCAAGUCCAUUGUGAAAUCCCCCGGCCUAACCGGGGAACUGCAUUGGAUACUACUUGACUUGAGUGCAGGAGGGGAGAGUGGAAUUCCAGGUGGAGCGGUGAAAUGCGUAGAUAUCUCGAGGAACGCCGGCGGCGAAAGCGACUCUCUGGUCUGUAACUGACGCUGAGGUGCGAAAGCUAGGGGAGCAAACGGG